CCGCAAGGCUGAAACUCAAAGGAAUUGACGGGGGCCCGCACAAGCGGUGGAGCAUGUGGUUUAAUUCGAAGCAACGCGAAGAACCUUACCAGGUCUUGACAUCCUCUGAAAACCCUAGAGAUAGGGCUUCUCCUUCGGGAGCAGAGUGACAGGUGGUGCAUGGUUGUCGUCAGCUCGUGUCGUGAGAUGUUGGGUUAAGUCCCGCAACGAGCGCAACCCUUGAUCUUAGUUGCCAUCAUUAAGUUGGGCACUCUAAGGUGACUGCCGGUGACAAACCGGAGGAAGGUGGGGAUGACGUCAAAUCAUCAUGCCCCUUAUGACCUGGGCUACACACGUGCUACAAUGGACGGUACAAAGAGCUGCAAGACCGCGAGGUGGAGCUAAUCUCAUAAAACCGUUCUCAGUUCGGAUUGUAGGCUGCAACUCGCCUACAUGAAGCUGGAAUCGCUAGUAAUCGCGAUCAGCAUGCGCGUAU
rnacentral:rRNA from 1 species